rnacentral:rRNA from 1 species
GAUGAACGCUGGCGGCGUGCCUAAUACAUGCAAGUCGAGCGAACAGACGAGGAGCUUGCUCCUCUGACGUUAGCGGCGGACGGGUGAGUAACACGUGGAUAACCUACCUAUAAGACUGGGAUAACUUCGGGAAACCGGAGCUAAUACCGGAUAAUAUAUUGAACCGCAUGGUUCAAUAGUGAAAUACGGUUUUGCUGUAACUUAUAGAUGGAUCCCCGCCGCAUGAGCUAGUUGGUAAGGUAACGGGUUAUCACGGCAACGAUGCGUAGCCGACGUGAGAGACGGAUAGGCCACCCGGGAACUGAGACACGGUCCAGACUCCUGCGGGAGGCAGCAGUAGGGAAUCUUACGCAAUGGUCGAAAGCAUGACGGAGCAACGCCGCGUGAGUGAUGAAGGUCUUCGGAGCGUAAAACUCUGUUAUUAGGGAAGAACAAAUGUGUAAGUAACUAUGCACGUCUUGACGGUACCUAAUCAGAAAGCCACGGCUAACUACGUG